AGGAGCCACCUUCUGAGCCUCCAGUACCAUGUGUCAGGACCACAUGAACUGGGCAUUGUGGGCCUGACAUGGUGCUGGGGCCUCAGGGGUCUGCUCUU
rnacentral:pre_miRNA from 1 species